rnacentral:sRNA from 1 species
GGAAACGGCGGCGGCGGCGGCACCGGAGGCUCCGAGGCUCCUGCGCUCCCGCGCCGCGCUCCCCUCGCCCGCCCGGGCCGCCAGGAGAAGAAACUGAGGCCUGGAAUUUGACUAACUCAUUCAAGGUUACCCAGUUGGGUGGUGAAAACAGUAGGUAUUCUGAACCAACCUUGCACUUCUCAGGUAAUUCAUUUGCACACCUGUUAGCAAGAAACAGAAGUUGAAGGACUGGAACAAGUGAACUAGGAAAGAGGGAACGCCAAUCCAAGGAUAGAAGGACAAGGACAGAAUCACCAGCACUGGCUGAAGAUGCCCAGCCUACAGAGUCUGAGAAGGAAAUUUAUAAUCAGGUGAAUGUAGUAUUAAAAGAUGCAGAAGGCAUCUUGGAGGACUUGCAGUCAUACAGAGGAGCUGGCCACGAAAUACGAGAGGCAAUCCAGCAUCCAGCAGAUGAGAAGUUGCAAGAGAAGGCAUGGGGUGCAGUUGUUCCACUAGUAGGCAAAUUAAAGAAAUUUUACGAAUUUUCUCAGAGGUUAGAAGCAGCAUUAAGAGGUCUUCUGGGAGCCUUAACAAGUACCCCAUAUUCU